rnacentral:tRNA from 1 species
GGAUGUAGCUCAGGGGUAGAGUGUGAACUUAGGGUGUUCAAGGUCCUGGGUUCAAUUCCCAGCACCA